rnacentral:rRNA from 1 species
AGAGUUUGAUCAUGGCUCAGGAUGAACGCUGGCGGUAUGCCUAAUACAUGCAAGUCGUGCGGAAAGGCCUCUUCGGAGGUACUCGAGCGGCGGACGGCAGAGUAACGCGUAGGAACAUACCCCAAACUGAGGGAUAACUGCUCGAAAGAGUAGCUAAUACCGCAUGUGGUCUUCGGACUAAAGCUUCGGCGGUUUGGGAAUGGCCUGCGUUCGAUUAGCUAGUUGGUGAGGUAAUUGCUCACCAAGGCGACGAUCGAUAGCUGGUCUGAGAGGAUGAUCAGCCUGACUGGAACUGAGACACGGUCCAGACUCCUACGGGAGGCAGCAGUAGGGAAUUUUCCACAAUGGGCGAAAGCCUGAUGGAGCAAUACCGCGUGCAGGAUGAAGGCCUUCGGGUCGUAAACUGCUUUUAUGUGAGAAGAAUUUGACGGUAACACAUGAAUAAGGGUCGGCUAACUACGUG